rnacentral:lncRNA from 1 species
UUCGCCAUGGUGGGGCAUCAAGUUAGCCGGCCAAAAUUAAUUUUACUGUGAAAGGACUUGGAUAAUAUGCUUAAUCGAUGCAGAAUCACUUGGUGGUCACAAAUCGACAAGUUACAACCCUUGAUUCAACGGCCAAAUGAAAAAAAUGUCGAGGUGAGAUGUGAAAAGAAAGCGAGCGUUUACAGAUGCUGAACCUAGAUGUCGCACUGAGCAUUUUCAUCGAUAAUUUUCACGAUUGGCACGAUUACCGAAUUUCCAAGUGAGGUUGUCAACUAAUAGGGAGAUGGCGAUACCCGAAUGCGAGUAAUGAGAAAACAAAUCUGCGAGGAUCUGCACUUGACACAAGCUCGUCACUGUCAUGGUGUAAAAGGUGCGCACAGCUCUCUAUUGAUGUUUAAAGAUAAAAACACCGAAUGCAAUGAUGCCCCGCCGCAAUGAUGAACUCUUGAGAGACUCCUUGAAAAAAAGGUGACAAAACAUGAGUUCGGUGGUAUCCCUUCCAAAAGAACACGAGGAGUUCUUUUAACAAUAAAACAUAAAUUAGGAAAAAAAAUUAGAUUAAUGGAAUUCAAUUCGCUCGAGUAACAAAAAAAAUAAUUAAAAAAACAUGUGCGACAAGCGAAAAGCUUGUAACGAUGGAAAUGUAAAAAACGUAUAACGUGUAUGCAAUUCAAUAAUAAUAAAAAAACCUUCAACUUAUGGUGUCUUACAAGGAAAA